rnacentral:rRNA from 1 species
UAGUCAUAUGCUUGUCUCAAAGAUUAAGCCAUGCAUGUCUAAGUAUACGCAAAUUAUACUGUGAAACUGCGAAUGGCUCAUUAAAUCAGUUAUAGUUUAUUUGAUGUUUCUUGCUACAUGGAUAACUGUGGUAAUUCUAGAGCUAAUACAUGCGUAAAAAGCCCCGACUUCUGGAAGGGGUGUAUUUAUUAGAUAAAAACCAUCCUCCUCGGAGUUUGGUGAUUCAUAAUAACUUCUCGAAUCGCACGGCCUUGUGCUGGCGAUGCUUCACUCAAAUAUCUGCCCUAUCAACUGUCGAUGGUAGGAUAGAGGCCUACCAUGGUUGCAACGGGUAACGGGGAAUAAGGGUUCGAUUCCGGAGAGGGAGCCUGAGAAACGGCUACCACAUCCAAGGAAGGCAGCAGGCGCGCAAAUUACCCACUCCCGACCCGGGGAGGUAGUGACGAAAAAUAACAAUACAGGACUCUUUCGAGGCCCUGUAAUUGGAAUGAGUCCACUUUAAAUCCUUUAACGAGGAUCCAUU